GACGAACGCUGGCGGCGUGCUUAACACAUGCAAGUCGAACGGAAAGGCCCUGCUCUUGUGGGGUGCUCGAGUGGCGAACGGGUGAGUAACACGUGAGUAACCUGCCCUUGACUUUGGGAUAACUUCAGGAAACUGGGGCUAAUACCGGAUAGGAGCUCCUGCUGCAUGGUGGGGGUUGGAAAGUUUCGGCGGUUGGGGAUGGACUCGCGGCUUAUCAGCUUGUUGGUGGGGUAGUGGCUUACCAAGGCUUUGACGGGUAGCCGGCCUGAGAGGGUGUCCGGCCACAUUGGGACUGAGAUACGCCCCAGACUCCUACGGGAGCAAGCAGUCGGGAAUAUUGCACAAUGAGCGGAGGCCUGAUGCAGCAACGCCGCGUGCGGGAUGACGGCCUUCGGGUUGAGAACCGCUUUCGCCUGUGACGAAGCGUGUGUGACGGUAAUGGGUAAAGAAGCAACGGCUAACUACGUG
rnacentral:rRNA from 1 species